GCGCAGCACACCUGGCGGGUACCGGGCCAGCCCUUGCUCAGAUUCAGGCUCGAGCCCGCCGGACCCAGACCGAGCGUCUCGUCCCACUCCCACGUGCGCCGGCCCGGAGAGAAGGAGGUGGGCGUGCGCUCGAGCUUUGUGGUCCUCACUGCCCCGACCUCCGGCCCUCUCCAUUCUCUGCUUCCGCUUCCGGGCCUGCAUCUUCUCCAAACUUCUCUGAACGCCGCGAACCCCCUUCCCAACACUUCGAAUGCAGGUCCCAAGGGCUGAUAAUAUAGUCAGGGUUUGACCUGUAGAGGGGUCCCCUUACAGGCACUGAGAGGGACAUGAGGACAUGAACGCUCCUGAUGUGAGCUCCAAUGAUGCUGACCUGCUAUGAGCUCUCAAACUGAAGGAAAAGUCUUGAUCCUCUUGGCCCAGAAGCAGGGGGCUGAUCACAAUGACCCCAGUUCCUCUGCUGCUGUAUUACAACCCAGCUGGAUGGAGCACUUCCCUUCCAGGGGAAGGUGGCUGAGGCAGAAGCAGGGUGUGAGAAACUACUGAUGCCAGCUGGCUCUUGUCCUCAGAAGUACUCUGAAAUUAGUUUACCUGCUUGUUUAACCAAAGAGAAUGUAAGUUCCUAGAGCAGGGGUUAACAAAUUUUUUUUCUGAAGAGCCAGCUAGUAAACAUUUUAGGCUUUCUCAGCCAUAUGGUCUCUGUUGCAACUACUCGACUCUGCUGUUGUAGUGUGAAAGCAGCCCUAGACCAUACGUAAACGGAGCGUGGCUGUGCUCCAAUAAAACUUUAUUUAUGGAUA